AUGAGUUGUCUUGGACCAGUGUCUGCCGGCAGCACCCCCGGCCCGUUGUGCGGCCGACUACCGGCGCCUGUGUCCUAUCAGCAUUGCAUGGACGGCUUAUACUUUGCUGCCUUACGGAAGAGUGCUUGCAUCAUGGUCCCUGACCAAUGGGAAGUGGUGCCUCGUACAAAGUUGCCUCGCGGUGGACGCCCGUUGGCGUGCUGCUGCGGCCAAAUUGCGGUGGCGGCGUUGCCUCGUGGUGCCAGCACGCUACGUGCCUGGCCCUACCUAGGAAACCUCGCUCCCGCUCUUGGUCUCGGAUGUCGCUCAUUAUAAAGGCUCGUGGCCCUUUGGCGCCGCGUCCCAAUGGGAAGCUCACUCAAUAGACGACAGCUGCUCUGUUUGUGGCCGUUGCCAUGCCAUGCAUGUGGCUGGCACGUGCGGCUCUCGGUGUCGGCUUGUCGACGAGGACGUGCU
rnacentral:misc_RNA from 1 species